AGUUCACCACCACUGGACUCUCUCCCCUGUAGGCAAGCCCCUAAUAAACCCCCACGUUUCUUUUCCUUCCUUCUUUUCCUUCCUUCCCUUCCCUCCUGCCUUUCCUUCUCUUCUCUUCUCUUCUCUUUCUCUGUUUCUUUCAAGUCAGAGUCUCAUUUUGUUGUCCAGGCUGCAGUGGCAUGAUCUCAACUCACUGCAACCUCUGCCUCCUGAAACCCCCAUGUUUCGUUUGCUGGCUAUGGAUCCUUUAUUUGGCCUCUCAAACCUGGUGCCUUCCCUACUGAGGUUAACAGGUGUUCGGCACCACACCUCUUCCCACCCUUGGCCCUGCCAUUCCCUCAAUCUCGAUUCUUUCCCCCUCACAAUCAUUGGCACCUACCCUGUGCCAGGCCCUAACCUACAGGGGAAGUCAGGCACUUAUGACAGGAGGUGAUCAGGAAGGUGUACCUGGGUCGGGUCUCAGAGAAUGAGCCAGUGAGGGGAAGGCUCUAUCGGCCCCCAGCCAGAGAGCAGAGCUUCCCUCCCUCACCCCUUCCUGGGACCUCAGGUGGCCACCAACACUACACCUGUCACUCUUGCUAGUGCCUCGGGGACUCCUCACUGGAGAGACAGAGAGAGAGAGCACCAGUGAACUCUUCAGGCAAAAUCUGAAUCCCCUGCCCUAUUUGAAAACCCCUUUCUAAGCUCUGCUGUGGCUCUUUCUUACAGCAUCUUUUGGGGGAGAACCUUUCUCUCCCAUCUUCUAUUGACCCAGUCGAACAAGGGCAUUCCAAGACUCAUCUUCAUACAUUUGCUGUGAGGGGUGAGUGUGAGUGAAUCUGUACCAAGAGCAAAGAGGGAUUUGAGCUUCCAAUUAAGCAGGAGACAGCCAUUUAAACAGGUCCUCUAGCCCAUCCUCCCAAGGCAGUCUGGAGAGAUGAAUGAAGGUGCAUUGGAGAGGCAGGGUGUAUCUUGGAGUCCAACCGGCUUAGGCUUUCAAUUCAGUCCCACCACUUACUAGCUGGAUGACCUUGGGGAAGGCACUCAGCCAGUGUGGUUUGAUUAUCUGUACAGUUGAAGACAAGCAUUUCCACUUUGCUGUCUGAUUGAAAAUGUUCAAUUAGUCUGGGCAUGGUGCAUCAGUGGGCCAGGUGCGGUGGCUCACGCCUGUAAUUCCAGCACUUUGGGAGGCCGAGGCGGGCGGAUCAUGAGGUCAGGAAAUCGAGACCAUCCUGGCUAACAUGGUGAAACCCCGUCGCUACUAAAAAUACAAAAAAUUAGCCGGACUCACACCUGUAAUCCCAUCACUUUGGGAGGUCAAGGCAGGCAGAUCACCUGAGGUCAGGAGUUCAUGACCAGCCUGGCCAACAUGGUGUUAGCCAUCUCCACUAAAAAUACAACAAUUAGCCAGGUGUGGUGGUGGGCGCCUGUAAUCCCAGCUACUUGGGAGGCUGAGGCAGGAGAAUCGCUUGAACCCUGGAGGCGGACGUUGCAGUGAGCUGAGGUGGGGUCAUUGCACUCCUGGAGGCGGACGUUGCAGUGAGCUGAGGUGGGGUCAUUGCACUCCAGCCUGGGUGACAAGAGUGAAACUUUGUCUCAAAAAAAAAAAAAAAAGAAAAGAAAAA
ensembl:lncRNA